rnacentral:rRNA from 1 species
GUGGUUCUCGACACCGGCUGAGCUGGCACCUCCUUCCUCAAGAACCUCGACUCCUCCCGCUACGAGGUGAAGGUCAUCUUGCCCCGCAACUGCUUCGCGUUCACGCCGCUGCUCCCCAGCGUCACCUGCGGCACCGUGGAGGCGUGCAGCACCAUCGAGCCGAUACGGAGGAUGUUCGAGAAGAAGGGGAAGGAUGUCGCGUAUUAUGAAGCAGAGUGCUUGAAGAUCAAUCUGACGAAGAAAGCCGUCCACCGCCGCUCUGCCGUCGGCACUAAUUUGGAUGGGAAUGGCAAUUUCAUGCUUGAUUAUGAUUACUUGGUUGUCGCUCUUGGAGCUGCUGUCAAUACAUUUAACACUCCUGGCGUGAUGGAGCAUUGCCACUUUCUGAAGGAAGUGGAGGAUGCCCAAAAAAUUCGGAAGAGCAUGAUAGACUGCUUUGAAAGGGCGUCAAUUCCUAACAUCAGUGAAGAGGAGAAAAGGAAGAUCCUUCACUUUGUGAUUAUUGGUGGUGGACCUACAGCGAUUGAAUUUGCUGCGGAGUUGCACGAUUUUUUUGUUGAAGAUUUGAUGAAACUGUAUCCUGCAAUUGAACAAUUUGUGAAGAUAACAGUUAUUCAAUCAGGAGAACAUAUAUUGAAUAUGUUUGACCAAAGUAUAACUGUGUUUGCUGAAUCAAAGUUCCAAAGAGAUGGCAUCAAGUUGAGUACAGGAUUCAGAGUGAUAAAGGUCUCCGAUGAUUCAAUUACGGUGAAGUGCAAAUCAUAUGGUGUAGAAACAUUGGUGCCAUAUGGAAUGGCUAUUUGGUCUGCGGGUAUUGGUACUCGCUGUUGGGGAACGUAG